rnacentral:rRNA from 1 species
UGUCCUACGGGAGGCAGCAGUGGGGAAUAUUGCACAAUGGGGGGAACCCUGAUGCAGCGAUGCCGCGUGAAGGAAGAAGAUUUUCGGAUCGUAAACUUCUAUCAGCAAGGAAGAAAAAGGACAGUACUUGACUAAGCAGCCCCGGCUAACUACGUGCCAGCAGCCGCGGUAAUACGUAGGGGGCGAGAGUUAUCCGGAAUUACUGGGUGUAAAGGGAGCGUAGGCGGCAGGCCAAGGCAGUUGUGAAAACAGUAGGCUCAACCUACGGCUUGCAAUUGAAACUGGCGAGCUAGAGUACAGGAGAG